rnacentral:rRNA from 1 species
CAACAGGGAUUGCCUUAGUAACGGCGAGUGAAGCGGCAAAAGCUCAAAUUUGAAAUCUGGCACCUUCGGUGUCCGAGUUGUAAUUUGAAGAAGGUAACUUUGGAGUUGGCUCUUGUCUAUGUUCCUUGGAACAGGACGUCACAGAGGGUGAGAAUCCCGUGCGAUGAGAUGCCCAAUUCUAUGUAAAGUGCUUUCGAAGAGUCGAGUUGUUUGGGAAUGCAGCUCUAAGUGGGUGGUAAAUUCCAUCUAAAGCUAAAUAUUGGCGAGAGACCGAUAGCGAACAAGUACAGUGAUGGAAAGAUGAAAAGAACUUUGAAAAGAGAGUGAAAAAGUACGUGAAAUUGUUGAAAGGGAAGGGCUUGAGAUCAGACUUGGUAUUUUGCGAUCCUUUCCUUCUUGGUUGGGUUCCUCGCAGCUUACUGGGCCAGCAUCGGUUUGGAUGGUAGGAUAAUGACUAAGGAAAUGUGGCUCUACUUCGGUGGAGUGUUAUAGCCUUGGUUGAUACUGCCUGUCUAGACCGAGGACUGCGUCUUUUGACUAGGAUGUUGGCAUAAUGAUCUUAAGCCACCC